GAUGAACGCUGGCGGCGUGCCUAAUACAUGCAAGUCGAGCGAACGGACGAGAAGCUUGCUUCUCUGAUGUUAGCGGCGGACGGGUGAGUAACACGUGGAUAACCUACCUAUAAGACUGGGAUAACUUCGGGAAACCGGAGCUAAUACCGGAUAAUAUUUUGAACCGCAUGGUUCAAAAGUGAAAGACGGUCUUGCUGUCACUUAUAGAUGGAUCCGCGCUGCAUUAGCUAGUUGGUAAGGUAACGGCUUACCAAGGCAACGAUGCAUAGCCGACCUGAGAGGGUGAUCGGCCACACUGGAACUGAGACACGGUCCAGACUCCUACGGGAGGCAGCAGUAGGGAAUCUUCCGCAAUGGGCGAAAGCCUGACGGAGCAACGCCGCGUGAGUGAUGAAGGUCUUCGGAUCGUAAAACUCUGUUAUUAGGGAAGAACAUAUGUGUAAGUAACUGUGCACAUCUUGACGGUACCUAAUCAGAAAGCCACGGCUAACUACGUGCCAGCAGCCGCGGUAAUACGUAGGUGGCAAGCGUUAUCCGGAAUUAUUGGGCGUAAAGCGCGCGUAGGCGGUUUUUUAAGUCUGAUGUGAAAGCCCACGGCUCAACCGUGGAGGGUCAUUGGAAACUGGAAAACUUGAGUGCAGAAGAGGAAAGUGGAAUUCCAUGUGUAGCGGUGAAAUGCGCAGAGAUAUGGAGGAACACCAGUGGCGAAGGCGACUUUCUGGUCUGUAACUGACGCUGAUGUGCGAAAGCGUGGGGAUCAAACAGGAUUAGAUACCCUGGUAGCCCACGCCGUAAACGAUGAGUGCUAAGUGUUAGGGGGUUUCCGCCCCUUAGUGCUGCAGCUAACGCAUUAAGCACUCCGCCUGGGGAGUACGACCGCAAGGUUGAAACUCAAAGGAAUUGACGGGGACCCGCACAAGCGGUGGAGCAUGCGGUUUAAUUCGAAGCAACGCGAAGAACCUUACCAAAUCUUGACAUCCUUUGACAACUCUAGAGAUAGAGCUUUCCCCUUCGGGGGACAAAGUGACAGGUGGUGCAUGGUUGUCGUCAGCUCGUGUCGUGAGAUGUUGGGUUAAGUCCCGCAACGAGCGCAACCCUUAAGCUUAGUUGCCAUCAUUAAGUUGGGCACUCUAAGUUGACUGCCGGUGACAAACCGGAGGAAGGUGGGGAUGACGUCAAAUCAUCAUGCCCCUUAUGAUUUGGGCUACACACGUGCUACAAUGGACAAUACAAAGGGCAGCGAAACCGUGAGGUCAAGCAAAUCCCAUAAAGUUGUUCUCAGUUCGGAUUGUAGUCUGCAACUCGACUACAUGAAGCUGGAAUCGCUAGUAAUCGUAGAUCAGCAUGCUACGGUGAAUACGUUCCCGGGUCU
rnacentral:rRNA from 1 species